CCAAACGACGACAAGCACGUGUACUGUGUCUCCCACGCAACGCUUUCCAAGCAUUUCCCCAACUCCUCCCUCUUUCUUUUGCCCAAAACCAAAUCCAUCACAACGCAACCAACCACAAUUCACAACACGUACAACCAAAGCAAAUUCCUUUGUUUCAGAUGGUGUCACCGCCGGUGCACGCGGGUCCGGCGCCGCCGAACCCCCAGCAGACCCAGCAAUUCCUGAGCUCCGUCCUCUCCCAGCGCGGCCCCUCAGCGCUCCCCUACUCCGAGGACACCAAGUGGCUCAUCCGCCAGCACCUCGUCGCUCUCUCCUCCAACUACCCCUCUCUCGAGCCCAAAACGGCGACGUUCACCCACAACGACGGCCGUUCCGUCAACCUCCUCCAGGCAGACGGCACCGUCCCCAUGUCCUUCCAGGGCCUCACCUACAACAUCCCCGUCAUCAUCUGGCUCAUGGAGUCCUACCCCCGCCACCCUCCUUGCGUCUACGUGAAUCCCACGCGCGACAUGGUCAUCAAGCGCCCCCACGCCCACGUCAACCCCUCCGGCCUCGUCUCCGUCCCUUAUCUCCAAAACUGGAUCUACCCCAGCUCCAAUCUCGUCGAACUGGCCCGCGAUCUCAGCCUCUACUUUGGCCGCGACCCCCCUCUCUAUUCCCAGCGCCGCUCCAACCCCAACCCUAACCCUAGCCCCAGCCCCAGCCCCAGCCCUAGCCCUAGUUUCAAUCAUCCCAAUGGAAAUGCCUCGAGCGUGGGCUAUACGCGCCCGCCGAGGGUGUAUCCGCCGUCGCCGUACGGUGGGGUGCAGGCGGAGGACCCGGCGGAGGUGUACAAGAGGAACGCGGUGAACAGGCUGGUGGAGGUCGUCCAUGGGGACAUCACCGCGAUGAGAAAGGGGCGUGAAGGGGAGAUGGACGCGCACUUCAACGCGCAGGCCGUGCUCAGACACCGCGGAGAAGAGCUGAACAGAGGCCUCAAGGAGAUGAUCGACGAGAAGGAAGCGUUGGAGCAGCAGUUGCAGAUGGUGUUGAUGAACGGCGACGUUUUGGAGUCGUGGCUGAGAGACAACGAAGCGAAGAUUACAAGGGGUUUAGGAGGCGACGUGAUCGACGUGGACGACGCGUUCGAGUGUGUCGACGUGUUGUCGAAGCAGAUGAUGGAGUGCACGGCCGCGGACUUGGCCGUCGAGGACGUGGUGUACGCGCUGGACAAGGCGGCGCAGGAGGGUGCCAUGCCGUUCGAUCAGUACCUGAGGUCCGUGCGAUUGUUGUCGCGCGAACAAUUCUUCCACCGCGCCACUGCUGCCAAGGUGCGUGCUGCACAGAUGCAGGCGCAGGUGGCCAAUAUGGCCGCCAGGAUUUCGCAUUAUGGCGGUGAUGCGGAGCAACUGCGUGUUCGAGCAUGAGCUUGGUUGAUUGGUUAUACCAAGUCGUAUCGUGUAACGUCAGGGUCUGGACAUCAGGUGGCGUGUUGCUAGGUGUCUUUGGUCUAUUAUUAUAAGAACUAUAUGAAAGAUGCAACACAGAUGUUAGCCCAAGUCUUCCCUCAAUUGUAUCUUGGUGUGAGGGCUUCUCUAUGUUUGGCAGAUGGGUUUGCUUUUGAGACUACAAGUUAGAGACCCUUCCUUGCAGAAUGCUAGUAUAGUUGACUCUUUAAGAAGAUGGUGCCUUCUUGGUUUGGGUGUGUUGGUAUGAAGAAAGACUAAUACUUGGGGAGUUACAUAGGAAGACUACCAAUGGCUGUUGUCAGCAGUUGCAGAAUUGAGGAAGCAAGUUUUAUUUUCUGCCCAAAACCCUAGUGGUUCCUUUCAAGUUGCUCUCUACAUGCUUCUGGAUAGCACAGUUGAAAAGGUGCAGAUUAUUGUACUGAAAAACCAUCAAAGUAGUCUUACGUAGGUUCAGGAUGCUAGUAACUUGUUUGCUUCCAUUCAAUGCUAUAUCACUGGACUCUUACAGUAGAUUGCAAGCAUUUCAUGAUUGGCUGAGUUUGUAUGGCGUAUCAUGGGAUAUGUAUGAAAUUAUACUUGUGAAUGCAGAUUUUUGUUUUUUUGUUU